AGCAGUAUGGUGUAUUGAUGCACACGGGGUAUCUGUAAGGUCCUCUAUGCGUAGGUUGAACCCCGAGGUCCUUGUUCGAAUCAAGGUGCUGCUC